rnacentral:rRNA from 1 species
AGAGUUUGAUCCUGGCUCAGGAUGAACGCUAGCUACAGGCUUAACACAUGCAAGUCGAGGGGCAGCAUGUUGGUUGCUUGCAACCAACGAUGGCGACCGGCGCACGGGUGAGUAACGCGUAUCCAACCUACCCUUGUCCAUCGGAUAACCCGUCGAAAGGCGGCCUAACACGAUAUGCGGUUCACAGCAGGCAUCUAACGUGAACGAAAUGUGAAGGAGAAGGAUGGGGAUGCGUCUGAUUAGGCUUGUUGGCGGGGUAACGGCCCACCAAGGCUACGAUCAGGUAGGGGUUCUGAGAGGAAGGUCCCCCACAUUGGAACUGAGACACGGUCCAAACUCCUACGGGAGGCA